rnacentral:rRNA from 1 species
UACGUAGGUGACAAGCGUUGUCCGGAUUUACUGGGCGUAAAGAGCGCGCAGGCGGUCGAUCAAGUCGAGUGUGAAAGCCCCCGGCUCAACUGGGGAGGGUCAUUCGAUACUGAUCGACUCGAAGGCAGGAGAGGGUAGUGGAAUUCCCGGUGUAGUGGUGAAAUGCGUAGAUAUCGGGAGGAACACCGGUGGCGAAGGCGGGUCUCUGGGCCGUAACUGACGCUGAGGAGCGAAAGCAUGGGGAGCGAACAGG